rnacentral:tmRNA from 1 species
GGGGCUGACUGGUUUCGACGUCAGAGCUGUUGGACGGGUUUGCGACCCGAGUUGCUCAGACUCGCUAAACGGGGCACCAAACACAAUCGACGCCAAAAACGCCGAUUUCGCUCUCGCCUGAUCUUCAGGUCAUGAGAUGCGAUCAUCGUGAGCAGUAAUGCCGCACGGGGCCACUCCACCGCAGCCCGGCACCAGAAGCGGGGGAUGACGGCGAGAAAGACCGCUGACGGUCGGAAAGACGACUGACCCACGGGAAAGACCGUGCGUCGAUCCUCCGGGAUCAACCGACCCGCCGGUGAGCCAGCGUCAGGCUCGGAGUCGGGAAUGGUCGUAGCAGGUCCGCCCACGGGCUGAUGGACGGGGGUUCGAUUCCCCCCAGCUCCACGA